UUCAAAUUCUCUGAAUUUUUUUCAAAAUUGAAGAACAUGUUUUAUAUAUCAGUGAUUUUUUUUCAAAUUUGUGAUUUUUUUUUCAUUUUUUUUCAAAAUUUCAAACGUUUGUAGAAAAGUCAACGGUCAACCAGCCGGACCAGUUGAACCAAGCGACCGAGGGGCGUUCGAGAUUGCUGGCGCCACAAGCGCCGAUUAGGACCUCCCGUUUUUGUCGCCGACUCGCUGAUCGACCCUCUUUUGCAGCGUGGGCUGGCACAGCGCAUGUUCGUUCUCCUUGGGCGGUUUCCUGGACCAAUGUGCCCGAAAUGCCCUUGGCUCCCGCGCCUCCCCUUCCAAGAUGCUUCCUUUUCCCCUUCAAAAGACGACGCCACCACAGGCGCACAGCCUUGCAUCCUCGUCAUCUUCGCUUGGACCCCUUCCUCUCUCUCUCUCUCUCUCUCUCUCUCUCUCUCUCUCUCUCGGGAUCGCUCCACGCCACCUCCGUCUCCGCCAGCCAGGGCGCGGGAUCCCUCGGCUAGAAUUGCGAAGCUGCAGAUCGAGAAGUGAGCCAUGGCGAAGAUCAAGCCGAGAGCACUGCUGGCACAGAGCAAGCAGAAGAGGAGCCCUACUAAAAUCGCCCCAACAAUGUUUGCCUUCAUCGUCGUCGGUGCCCUAGUGGUGUCCUCACUCUACGCAUACAAGUACUGGAUGAGCAAAGGACCAGCUGGAGCGGAAAGUGUUGCUGGGAACUAAGCCCGAGCAAAUGUGGAAUGAUUAAUUCUUUUGUUGUAUGUAUCAUCUUGUUGGCUAAUUUCAGUUGUUGUACUCCAUUAAAUGGAACAUAGACAGAUUCUUUUGCCAUGUUUA